rnacentral:rRNA from 1 species
UAACUGAAGAGUUUGAUCAUGGCUCAGAUUGAACGCUGGCGGCAGGCUUAACACAUGCAAGUCGAGCGAGGGAAGGUAGCUUGCUACCGGACCUAGCGGCGGACGGGUGAGUAAUGCUUAGGAAUCUGCCUAUUAGUGGGGGACAACAUCUCGAAAGGGAUGCUAAUACCGCAUACGUCCUACGGGAGAAAGCAGGGGAUCUUCGGACCUUGCGCUAAUAGAUGAGCCUAAGUCGGAUUAGCUAGUUGGUGGGGUAAAGGCCUACCAAGGCGACGAUCUGUAGCGGGUCUGAGAGGAUGAUCCGCCACACUGGGACUGAGACACGGCCCAGACUCCUACGGGAGGCAGCAGUGGGGAAUAUUGGACAAUGGGGGGAACCCUGAUCCAGCCAUGCCGCGUGUGUGAAGAAGGCCUUAUGGUUGUAAAGCACUUUAAGCGAGGAGGAGGCUACUUUAGUUAAUACCUAGGGAUAGUGGACGUUACUCGCAGAAUAAGCACCGGCUAACUCUGUGCCAGCAGCCGCGGUAAUACAGAGGGUGCGAGCGUUAAUCGGAUUUACUGGGCGUAAAGCGUGCGUAGGCGGCUUAUUAAGUCGGAUGUGAAAUCCCCGAGCUUAACUUGGGAAUUGCAUUCGAUACUGGUGAGCUAGAGUAUGGGAGAGGAUGGUAGAAUUCCAGGUGUAGCGGUGAAAUGCGUAGAGAUCUGGAGGAAUACCGAUGGCGAAGGCAGCCAUCUGGCCUAAUACUGACGCUGAGGUACGAAAGCAUGGGGAGCAAACAGGAUUAGAUACCCUGGUAGUCCAUGCCGUAAACG